rnacentral:lncRNA from 1 species
AUUGGAAGGAAAUGCAUUGCAUGAUGGAUUUAACUGAUUUAAGUUGAUUAUAUAGCAAGCUGGCAAACAUUGUAAGUGUAGAAAAUAUAUAGUAAUUAAUAAAAUAAGUUUAAACACACCAUAAUCAUUUAUAUAUAAUGAAUUAGUACAAUAUUUUACACUUUAUACAUUGUAUGGUAAGAUACAUGAGUGACUUAGCAUCACAUAGAAUGAACGUGGUGAGUAGUUCAAAAGUAGAUACUUGAAAAGAAAUUAAUCAAAUUUUAGUAUGAUGUAAUUAUUUGGACUUGAUUUAAAAUAGAAAUUAAUCAUAUAUAAUAUAUGUAACUGAAAAAAAAAUAAUCAAAUUUUAAUAUGAUGUAAUUAUUUGGAUUUGAUUUAAAAUAGAAAUUUAUCAUAUAUAAUAUAUGUAACUGAAAAAAAAAAAAAUCAAAUUUUAAUAUGAUGUAAUUAUUUGGACUUGAUUUAAAAUAGAAAUUUAUCAUAUAGAAUAUAUGUAACUGAAAAAAAAAAUUAAUCAAAUUUUAAUAUGAUGUAAUUAUUUGGACUUGAUUUCUCUUUAUACAUAUAUUCUUCUUCCUAUUUUCUAGUAUUUCAGUUUAGUAAGUAAUUUUAAAUUUCGAAGACGAAAUUCUUUUAAGAGGGGUAGAUUGUUACACCCACCCCCAAUUUAAAUUGUAUUUUCAUUUAUCUUACUUUUAAAAUUAUUUUUUGAUCUUAAUAGGUGUGCCCAGGGCCCACCUUGCUUUUGUGUCACCGUCUCUCUUUUCUCUCAGAUCUCUCUUUUCCCUCACUCUCUCAUCUCUACCGUGCUCUCUCUCUCUGCACUCUCUGCACUUUCUCCUUCUCCCCGUGAACCAACCCACACGCCACACCCUCACUUUCACACCACUUAAACGGCGACACCCCCUCAUCGCUCUCUGCACUCUCUCCUUCUCCCCGUGAACAACCCUCAUUCUCCCUCUUCGCCCUCUCUGCACUCUCUGCACUCUCUGCACUCUCUGCACUCUCUGCUUCUCCCCGUGAACAACCCACACCCUCACUUCCACACCACAUCAACGGCGACACCACCUCAUCGCCAUCUCCGUCUCUACGUCUCUGCCUCGGUCUCUCCGUCUCCGUCUCUCCCUCAGUCUCUCCGUCUUCGUCUCUGCCUCGGUCUCUCCGUCUCCGUCUCUCCGUCUCCGUCUCUCCCUCGGUCUCUCCGUCUCCGUCUCUGCCUCGGUCUCUCCGUCUCCGUCUCUGCCUCGGUCUCUCCGUCUCCGUCUCUCCCUCGGUCUCUCCGUCUUCGUCUCUCCCUCGGUCUCUCCGUCUUCGUCUCUCCCGCGAUCUGGAUCCUUCUUCUUCUAUCUGGUUUCUGGAUCCUUCUUCUUCGAUCGGGUUUCUGGAUCCAUCUUCUUCGAUCUCUCUUCUCCCAAACACACACACACAAAGAUCGCCGUUGAUCGUGGCUCAGGCGAAGUCAGAGGUGCGCCGCGGAGCAAGGAUCGUUCGUAUUCCGCUUCGUCAGGUGAGAUUCCAUGAAACCCUAAACCCUAAUCUCUCCGACUUCACCUUGCCUUGAAUCGUUUGUAUAUUUGUGAAAUCUGAUGUAUAUUUGUGAAAUUAAUGUUAAGAUUUGUGUUUUUGCAAGGUUUUUGGGACGAAACCGGCCCGGGAAUCGCCCCACGGUCUCCGGCGUUCUUCUCCGACGUCGCCUCGGAUUCCGAUUCCACCGUCCAUGGAUAUUUCGCCGAUAAUUUCCAAAUAUCGCGAUAUUAUCGAUAUUAUCGAUAAUAUCGCGAUAUUUGGCCGAAAACCCCACGGAAACCAGUUAAAAUAUCGCCGACCGGAAAAAUCGAUAUUAUCGGCGAAAUAUCGCCGAUAAUAUCGAUAUUUAAAUCUGUGCUCUUAACCAACUGAAUUAUAAACCUUUUACUUAUGCAAGGUAUACAUCCGAUAGGUGCCUUUUUUAUUUUUAAUCUCAUUUCUUAGUUGAUUGCAUAAAGUGUUAAAAAAAAAAACUAACAAUAAUUAAUGGGGUCAUAUAUAGGAGUCUUUCAGUGUGAAUGUCAUCUUGUUUUCAUUUUCAAAUAAAAGUUUUGAGAUUGAUGAUUGGGUUAAAACAAAAUUAACCAGCACUAAAUUAUCCAAAAUCAUUGUGAGCGCAAUAAUUUCACUAUAUAUCUUACAUUUUAACAUGAACAUUCUAGGCUAGAGGUGACAAGUACCCAUUGGAUUGUUAAUGAAUAUUCAUUAAGACCCAUUUAAUAUGAUUUCACCUUACAUCAUCAUCAUCAUUACCGAUCUCACCUCUAUAUUAUAUCAAAUUAAACGGGCCUUAAUAGACCCAUUAACAACCCAAUGAGUUGAUUGCCACCUCUAUAACUAUGAAUUGUCCAAAUCAUGAAAUUUCUGAUGUAAUAGGUACUAACUAAUAUGACAGAGAUAAUGUUAAGUCACUUGGACUACUAUAAUUCCAAAAAGCUUUACUCAAAUUAAUUGAUCAUUAAGGGGGAAUGCAUAUACGUGUCACAUUAAUCGUACUAGUAUUUCUUGUUGGCAUUUAUUAAGUAUGAUCAUGGACGUCUCUGAAACACAACCAACCAAUAUGUAUAUAGUCUAAGUCCUGAUAACGAUCUUAACAUAGUACAGACAUAUCAAAUUAGCUGCGCUCGCUUUCAUUUGACUAUCAAUCUUCUGAGUUGUCCUAUAAAACCUUAAUUCUAACUUGGCUUAUUCAUGGAGUACUCGUGCAUGCAUGUUGUUGCUCUUAACAACCUCAAUUAUUUCAAAAUCUUAAGACAAAAAGGGACCACGUUAUAUGCCUAUUUGCUGGCCAAGGCAUGCACUAUUCUUGUUGAAGGGAAACUUUCAUGGUUCUUGAAAUAUGGUCAUGUGUCGCUAUUAUUUCAUUCAAAUUAUAACACGUAUAUUUAUUGUGAUUGAUAACCAUUGAAGUGAGGCAACCUUUCAUCUUUGUUAUAGUGCGAUGAUCAUGCACCGCAGAACUUGUAUUCUUGAUACCUAUAUAAAUUUCUCGUUUUUGUUAUUGGUAGGUUAAAUUAGUUCUCUUUUGCAAUUCGAUAUUGUAUAUACUAGUCAUACAAGGGUAUAGCUUUCUAAGAAAGAUAUCAAACUUGGGCAUUUGAAGGGGUUUGGGAAGUGACCACAUUAUUGGUCCUAUGUUUCUUCUUUCAUUUAAUCUCAUUUCUCAGUUGAUUGCAUAAAGUGUUAAAAAAAAAAAAACUAACAAUAAUUAAUGGGGUCAUAUAUAGGAGUCUUUCAGUGUGAAUGUCAUCUUGUUUUCAUUUUCAGAUAAAAGUUUGAGAUUGAUGAUUGGAUUAAAACAAAAUUAACCAGCACUAAAUUAUCCAAAAUCAUUGUGAGCGCAAUAAUUUCACUAUAUAUCUUACAUUUUAACAUGAACAUUCUAGGCUAGAGGUGACAAGUACUCAUUGGAUUGUUAAUGAAUAUUCAUUAAGACCCAUUUAAUAUGAUUUCACCUUACAUCAUCAUCAUCAUUACCGAUCUCACCUCUAUAUUAUAUCAAAUUAAACGGGUCUUAAUAGACCCAUUAACAAUCCAAUGAGUUGAUUGCCACCUCUAUAACUAUGAAUUGUCCAAAAUCAUGAAAUUUCUGAUGUAAUAGGUACUAACUAAUAAUGUUAAGUCACUUGGACUACUAAUUCCAAAAAGCUUUACUCAAAUUAAUUGAUCAUUAAGGGGGAAUGCAUAUACGUGUCACAUUAAUCGUACUAGUAUUUCUUGUUGGCAUUUGUUAAGUAUGAUCAUGGACGUCUCUGAAACACAACCAACCAAUAUGUAUAUAGUCUAAGUCCUGAUAACGAUCUUAAGAUAUUACAGACAUAUCAAAUUAGCUGCUCUCGCUUUCAUUUGACUAUCAAUCUUCUGAGUUGUCCUAUAAAACCUUAAUUCUAACUUGGCUUAUUCAUGGAGUACUCGUGCAUGCAUGUUGUUACUCUUAACAACCUCAAUUAUUUCAAAAUCUCAAGACAAAAAGGGACCACGUUAUAUGCCUAUUUGAUGGCCAAGGCAUGCACUAUUCUUGUUGAAGGGAAACUUUCAUGGUUCUUGAAAUGUGGUCAUGUGUCGCUAUUAUUUCAUUCAAAUUAUAACACGUAUAUUUAUUGUGAUUGAUAACCAUUGAAGCGAGGCAACCUUUCAUCUUUGUUAUAGUGCGAUGAUCAUGCACCACACAACUUGUAUUCUUGAUACCUAUAUAAAUUUCUCGUUUUUGUUCUUGGUAGGUUAAAUUAGUUCUCUUUUGCAAUUCGAUAUUGUAUAUACUAGUCAUACAAGGGUAUAGCUUUCUAAGAAAGAUAUCAAACUUGGGCAUUUGAAGGGGUUUGGGAAGUGACCACAUUAUUGGUCCUAUGUUUCUUCUUUCAUGUAAGCUAAUGCCUUUUUUUUAUCGACCCUAUUUCGGUCUCACCCUCAUUUGGUCUUAGGUUUCUUCUUUAGUGUAAGUAAGCUUUCAUAGGGUUCGCUUUCCUUUUAUCCAUAUCUUGGUGUUUGCACACCCUCUAGGAAAGUUGAAAAGUGUGAGGUGCUCUCUGGUCUCAAGUGUUCUUGUCUCUAGGUGGUUGCUUCACAUUCUUUGAAUCCACAACCCAUAAGUUUGUCUCAUAUGUUGCUAAGAAUGUGAGUUAUAAACAAUUUUUAAUCUGAUAGUAUUUCUCUUUCGAUGUUGAAACUUAAACUCAAACCCUUAGUUUUCACAUGAUAAAGAAAAGAAUUUGGAGCACAUUUUCAAGCUGAAGCUGCUGAACUGUGAUGGAAAUGUCAAUUCUUCUAGCGUGAAACUAAGGAAACUAAUUGAUAAACCCCAGUUGCGUGUUCUCCCAACUGUUUUUGGUUCCAAACUUCCAAACCAACUGGACAACUCAUCAGGAACUUUACUAGUGAACUUGUAGACGGCCGCAAUGUGAGACAAUUGAUCGAGUGCAGAGCCAUCAAAUUAAGUUUGAAACGGAAACGGAACUUCCAUCCAGGAACCUCUGCUAAUUUGAUUGAUUUAAUCACAUAAUGUGCGAGCCAUAGUUUAGUUCAACAAAUUAGUAGACAGAUGUCAUUGGAUUAAUUGUUAAGUACAGCUAUCAUUAUUUGAGAAGAAAAAUUGGUUUUUGAGUCUUGACAUGUUUAUCUCAUAUGGAGUGACAAUUUUUUGUUUAAUAUAUAAUGAGAAAUCUUUAUAAACCAAACAUUACAUGGUAAAGAUACAAUGAUAGGCUUCUAAAUGAUUAUGUGACAAACUCAAAGAUCCAUUUGAGUGAAAACAAGAAAUAAAAAUGUGGAUAUUGGAUAAUCGUUCCCACUUUUCCACUUGAUUACAAAAUAUAGUAGUAAUCAUGCUUGUCACUCACAAUUGAAUUAAUGGUGCUACUCGUAGCAACUCCACUCCAUAAAAUCUCCCUUGCAAUUGGGUGAUUUUGCAAUUGGGUGAUUGAAUCCUCCCAACCCAAAAAAAUUGCUCCAACCCUUGCUAAUUGUCUCACCUAUUGGGUGGGCCCAACUCCCACAGACUAAGCAAUCGGGAGAAAAUGGCUUGAUACCUCGCUUGAGGCUAUCUGACCUCAACUUGACGUCAAGGUGACCCUUUUUAUUAUUAUUUUUUUUUGCAUCAUGCACAUGUGCGCGUAGAUGCGAGUCGUCCGACAAAAAUCCAGGCAGAGGGCCCGUGCUGCAGUAGACUGUUAAUCUGAGCUGUUAGAUUUCCCAAAUCCGAUGGUCCUUUUUAAUCCUGUUUUUUUAAUAUUCAAAAAAUACUAUAAAAGACUUAUUCACACAACCUAGACUCUUGGAUUGAAAAAAAAAAGUUCAUCCAACGGUCCAAAUGAAUUAUUAAUUAUGUCAUUAAAUAUGUUUAAAAAUUAAAAUUAAAUACAAAAAAAAAAUUAAAAUUAAGAGAAUAUGAAUUGUGGCAUGACCAGGAUGGGGUUGUAAUUUCGGAUAAAAUCACGUGACUUGAUGCGAUUGUUAAAAAUCUUAUUAAAAAAUAAACAUAACAUGAAUUUUUUCUAAAAACAUUAAUUUUUCUAAUAUCAAUAACUCCGCAAUUCAUUUAAGAGUGAAGAUACACUUAGACAAUUACUUUUUACAAAAGUAAUAAUUGCUAAUUGCCCAAUCGUCUAAACUAUUAUUGCCCUAAGGAGUGGGGUUGCUCUUAAGGCUGCAAAGUCAUUAAGCUUCUCUCUUUCUUUGCUUUGAUAAAUACAUUUAGGCUGAGUCAUGUAUACGAGGAGGAAAAUCAAAUAUUUAUAUAGAGAAAUUUGAAAUGUCACAGUAUAUCAAUCAAUAUUCUAAACUUUUAUACACUGUUACUUUCAUAUCUUCCCAAAUGCAUAAAGCUCUUCUCUUAACUGCGCAUAAAUGAAUCUAAGCGGCUGAGUCAACGGCACACUUGUGGUGGCUGAACAUAACAUAAUUUUUGCAUUUAACGUAACCGCACAGAACGUAUUCGUAAUCUGAAUGAAAAUAUGGAAUUGAAUUCUGAUUAUGGAGUACUUCGGUGUUUACUAAAUAUGGAGGAGUAGUGGGGCCCACACAAAUUUUGGAAUUCAAUUCCUUAUAUUGGUGGAAUUGGAUUCCCUAGAUGUAGGUGGUAAUCAAAUUCCUGCAUUGCUUGGGCAAUCAGAAUGACACUUUUGUUCUCUUUAUGCCCUCACUUACUUUUUUUAUUUCCAAUACUAUCCUUUAUAAACCCGUUAACCCUAGUUUAAUUAUGCACAACUCCUUACCUUUUUUUUAUUUUCAUGCUCAUUCACAUUAUGCACAACUCCAUGCAUAUGCCAAAGAGAAGAAACUACUACUUGAGCGAGAAAUUUUAAAUAUUAAAGUAAAUACCUAAAUUUAAAAAAAAUAAAUAAACAAAAGCAUUUUAAUGUGUCUAAGAAAUAAAAAAGCAAUUUAAUUUUUUCUUACUAUUAUACUAUGAUAUCAAGUUUUAUUAAAAAUAUAUAUAAAAUAUUGAUUUGGGACAAGGGUAUUUUAGUAAUCAUACUGGUUUAUAUUCCGAUUCUGUUGAAUUAAUAAACAGCUUUAUGGAAUUCUAUUCCGAUUCUAGAACAUUUAAGUAAACAGCUUCAACCGGAAUCUGAUUCUAACUUCUCCUCAUUCCAACUCCUCCUCAAUUCAAUUUCUCCUCAAUUUAAUUUCUUCUAUUUUCAUUAUGGUUACGUAAACGCACCAUUACUGUUCCUAGCUAGUAAUAGUCAGCAUAAUCUAA